GAUCCUGGCUCAGGAUGAACGCUGGCGGCGUGCUUAACACAUGCAAGUCGAACGAAGCACUUUAACCUGAUUCUUCGGAUGAAGGUUUUUGUGACUGAGUGGCGGACGGGUGAGUAACGCGUGGGUAACCUGCCUCAUACAGGGGGAUAACAGUUAGAAAUGACUGCUAAUACCGCAUAAGACCACGGAGCCGCAUGGCUCAGUGGGAAAAACUCCGGUGGUAUGAGAUGGACCCGCGU
rnacentral:rRNA from 1 species